UACGAAGGGUGCAAGCGUUACUCGGAAUUACUGGGCGUAAAGCGUGCGUAGGCGGUUUGUUAAGUCCGUUGUGAAAGCCCUGGGCUCAACCUGGGAAUUGCAGUGGAUACUGGCGAGCUAGAGUGCGGUAGAGGAUGGUGGAAUUCCCGGUGUAGCGGUGAAAUGCGUAGAGAUCGGGAGGAACACCAAUGGCGAAGGCAGCUCGCUGGGACGGUACUGACGCUGAG
rnacentral:rRNA from 1 species